AUGGGAUCGCAAGCGGUAUGGCUCCCCGUGGCCCUGCUCCUGGCGGCAGUGGCCCUCUCGUCCGUCCUGACGGCGCCGGCCGCCGCGGCCGCUACGGAGUCCGGCGAGGCCGACCACGCCGUUCAGCAGCACAGCGAGCGCAUCUCAGGAAGUGCUGGUGAUGUGCUAGAAGACAAUCCUGUGGGAAAGUUAAAGGUUUUCAUAUAUGACUUGCCAAGAAAGUAUAACAAGAAGAUGGUCACCAAGGAUCCCCGGUGCCUCAAUCACAUGUUUGCUGCGGAAAUAUUCAUGCAUCGUUUCUUGCUCUCAAGUGCUGUGCGGACUCUCAAACCCAAAGAGGCUGAUUGGUUCUACACACCAGUUUAUACUACAUGUGACCUAACUCCUGCUGGUCUUCCCUUGCCAUUCAAGUCACCACGGGUGAUGAGGAGUUCGAUCCAGUAUAUUUCGAAUAAAUGGCCCUUUUGGAACCGAACUGAUGGCGCAGAUCACUUCUUUGUUGUCCCACAUGAUUUUGGAGCUUGCUUCCAUUAUCAGGAAGAAAAAGCUAUUGAACGUGGCAUUCUCCCAUUGCUGCGACGUGCUACAUUGGUGCAAACAUUUGGACAGGAGAAUCAUGUUUGCCUGAAGGAGGGGUCUAUCAUCAUUCCACCCUUUGCUCCUCCUCAGAAAAUGCAGGCUCACCUUAUUCCCCCGGACACACCACGGUCAAUCUUCGUUUACUUUAGGGGUCUGUUCUAUGACACCGGAAAUGACCCUGAGGGUGGUUACUAUGCAAGAGGUGUGCGAGCUUCCCUGUGGGAGAACUUCAAGAACAAUCCUCUGUUUGACAUUUCCACCGAUCACCCUGCCACUUACUACGAAGACAUGCAGCGCGCGGUCUUCUGCCUGUGCCCAUUGGGCUGGGCACCAUGGAGCCCUAGGUUGGUUGAGGCUGUGGUCUUUGGCUGCAUUCCAGUCAUCAUAGCUGACGAUAUUGUGCUGCCAUUUGCUGAUGCUAUCCCAUGGGAAGAAAUUGGUAUUUUUGUGGAGGAGAAGGAUGUCCCAAAGUUGGACACAAUCCUGACAUCAAUGCCCAUCGAGGAUAUUCUAAGAAAGCAAAGAUUGCUUGCAAAUCCAUCAAUGAAGCAGGCCAUGUUGUUCCCACAGCCAGCCCAACCACGAGAUGCAUUCCACCAGAUCUUGAAUGGCCUUGCUCGUAAGCUCCCACACCCUGAGGGUGUAUACUUGCCACCUGGCGAGAAGCAUCUCAACUGGACUGCCGGACCUGUUGGAGAUCUGAAACCGUGGUAG
rnacentral:rRNA from 1 species